rnacentral:rRNA from 1 species
GACGAACGCUGGCGGCGUGCUUAACACAUGCAAGUCGAACGGAAAGGCCCUGCUUUUGUGGGGUGCUCGAGUGGCGAACGGGUGAGUAACACGUGAGUAACCUGCCCUUGACUUUGGGAUAACUUCAGGAAACUGGGGCUAAUACCGGAUAGGAGCUCCUGCUGCAUGGUGGGGGUUGGAAAGUUUCGGCGGUUGGGGAUGGACUCGCGGCUUAUCAGCUUGUUGGUGGGGUAGUGGCUUACCAAGGCUUUGACGGGUAGCCGGCCUGAGAGGGUGACCGGCCCCAUUGGGACUGAGAUACGGCCCAGACUCCCACGGGGGGCAGGGGUGGGGAAUAUUGCACAAUGGGGGGAAGCCUGAUGCAGCAACGCCGCGUGCGGGAUGACGGCCUUCGGGUUGUAAACCGCUUUCGCCUGUGACGAAGCGUGAGUGACGGUAAUGGGUAAAGAAGCACCGGCUAACUACGUG